CAGGAAUAGCUCUCUCCAGGGGCAAGGAGAUGUCCUACAGAAAAGGGUGGAGAAGAAAAACUAUACCUGAAAAGUGAGGAAAAAAGCACAGACUUCUCAAAAGAACUUGAGCCACCAAGCUAAUCCAAUGAAGAUGUGCCCUAUGAUGACGAGGGACCUUUGUGAAUUACUACGUGAAGGAAAGAUGAUUAUUCUUUGCCAGUAACUUAGGAAUCUGGAAUCUUUCCCUGCAACCCUCAGGGGA